UUGAAAAUACCAAUAAACGUAUAUAAAAGUGAAUUACACCUGACACAUUAUCAGUUCCUCGAUAUGUUGUUAUUGAAGAAAACACUAAUUUAUUGCAUUUUAUUUUUAAUCUAUUUAGUUUCUCCAAGUACGUAGUAAUUUCAUAUAGUUUUUUAAAUUAGAAUCGUUGUGAAUUCUGUUUGAUUAUGAUAAAUUUUAACUCUUUCAUAUUUUACAGGUACUGAAAAAGUAUGUGGAAAGGAAUAUGGUUGUAAUAUCUAUUGCAGUUAUUUCAAGGAUUAUUAUUCUUGUCCAUUAGUUAAACCACCAUGUCAUUGUUGGUAAUAGAUUAUUUUGUGUAUUAUAUUAAUCGAAGUACAUAAGUAAAUAAUUUUUUAUUUUUGUCUAA